rnacentral:rRNA from 1 species
CGUGCCUAAUACAUGCAAGUCGAACGCAUUGUGGUUGAAAUGAUAUGAAGAACUUGUUCAGAUUUGAUUUUCAACAUUGCAAUGAGUGGCGAACGGGUGAGUAACACGUGGGAAACCUACCUCUUAGCAGGGGAUAACAUUUGGAAACAAAUGCUAAUACCGUAUAAUAAUUAAAACCGCAUGGUUUUAGUUUAAAAGAUGGUCUUGCUAUCACUAAGAGAUGGUCCCGCGGUGUAUUAGUUAGUUGGUGAGGCAAUGGCUCACCAAGACAAUGAUACAUAGCCGAGUUGAGAGACUGACCGGCCACAAUGGGACUGAGACACGGCCCAUACUCCUACGGGAGGCAGCAGUAGGGAAUCUUCCACAAUGGACGAAAGUCUGAUGGAGCAACGCCGCGUGUGUGAUGAAGGGUUUCGGCUCGUAAAACACUAUUGUAAGAGAAGAAUGACAUUGAGAGUAACUGUUCAAUGUGUGACGGUAUCUUACCAGAAAGGAACGGCUAAAUACGUG